rnacentral:snoRNA from 15 species
CUGCCCGAUGAUUAUAAAAAGAUGCGUUAAGAGGACUUAUGCUGGAGUUCUUUAAAACCUCUCUUCUCUCUUUUCUGUUUACUAUUUCUUUCUUUAGAUGUCCAGUGUCCUAUGAGCGAUGAUUAUGAGAUAUGAGGGCAA